rnacentral:rRNA from 1 species
GAUGAACGCUGGCGGCGUGCCUAACACAUGCAAGUCGAGCGAUUCUCUUCGGAGAAGAGCGGCGGACGGGUGAGUAACGCGUGGGUAACCUGCCCUGUACACCCGGAUAACAUACCGAAAGGUAUGCUAAUACGAUAUAAUAUGCUUUUAUCGCAUGGUAGAAGUAUCAAAGCUCCGGCGGUACAGGAUGGACCCGCGUCUGAUUAGCUAGUUGGUAAGGUAACGGCUUACCAAGGCGACGAUCAGUAGCCGACCUGAGAGGGUGAUCGGCCACAUUGGAACUGAGACACGGUCCAAACUCCUACGGGAGGCAGCAGUGGGGAAUAUUGCACAAUGGGCGAAAGCCUGAUGCAGCAACGCCGCGUGAGCGAUGAAGGCCUUCGGGUCGUAAAGCUCUGUCCUCAAGGAAGAUAAUGACGGUACUUGAGGAGGAAGCCCCGGCUAACUACGUGCCAGCCGCCGCCGUAACAC